GACGAACGCUGGCGGCGCGCCUAAUACAUGCAAGUAGAACGCUGAAGGAGGAGCUUGCUUCUCCGGAUGAGUUGCGAACGGGUGAGUAACGCGUAGGUAACCUGCCUGGUAGCGGGGGAUAACUAUUGGAAACGAUAGCUAAUACCGCAUAACAGUAGAUGUUGCAUGACAUUUGCUUAAAAGGUGCAAUUGCAUCACUACCAGAUGGACCUGCGUUGUAUUAGCUAGUUGGUGAGGUAACGGCUCACCAAGGCGACGAUACAUAGCCGACCUGAGAGGGUGAUCGGCCACACUGGGACUGAGACACGGCCCAGACUCCUACGGGAGGCAGCAGUAGGGAAUCUUCGGCAAUGGACGGAAGUCUGACCGAGCAACGCCGCGUGAGUGAAGAAGGUUUUCGGAUCGUAAAGCUCUGUUGUAAGAGAAGAACGAGUGUGAGAGUGGAAAGUUCACACUGUGACGGUAUCUUACCAGAAAGGGACGGCUAACUACGUG
rnacentral:rRNA from 1 species